AAUGGAGUCCAGGACCGUCGUUAUCCUGAAGCCUGUGAGAAUCUAGGUCCCUGGGUUCUUACCCCACCAGCUGUGUGACCUGGGAAGCUUAUUCUCUUCUCUGAGCCUCAGAGUCCCCUGGGAUUUCACAGGAUAACGACCUGCCUUGUCUGCAGCUUGGAGCUGUUGCAAAGAUCCAGGUAAGCAUUUCACACACAGCGAAGUGCUGUACAAACACGGGGCGUCAUCACAAUUUUAUUGUAAGUGCCAUUGUUUUCUUAAAGAAAGUUUAAGACGUAAAAGAACCUUAUACUAUAUCUUGCAAAAAAAUUUUUUUUGGCAGCAGAAAAAAAAAUGGAGAAGGAGAGGUUAAAAAGAAAAAAAGGAUUUGAGCCAACAGCUUCGACUUCCUUGUCAGCCAACUAGAGGAGAGAAUGUUAAAAGACAAACGAAGCUGGUGGAAAGACCUGGCUCCAGGACAGGAGGGCAGACGGCAGGCUGGGCGCGUUUCUUCCCUGGCCGGAUGUGGCCCCUGCUCACCAAUGCCUGGAGAGAAAAGGUCAGAGUCGGCCCUAGGGUCAGCCCCUCUAACCCCCUUAUUUUACAGAUUGGGAAACUGAGGCCUGGCAAGGGGAGCGGACCCACCCAGUGACAUCAUGCCUCUCAGCCCUGUGCUAUUUCUCUCCAUCUCUGCUGCCUCUCACUGAACCAAGCACUCCAGGCUGCCCAAUGGAUCAAAGCUUUGAAAAUUAGCUGAUUGGAGCCAGGGAUGCACUUCUCAAAGAAAAAAACAUAUUUCAUGAUCAACUACACUGCCCACUUCCCAAGGAUCUCCUCCUUUCCUGACACACCCUCCCUCCCUCUUUCUCUCUUUGUUUCUGAGUCUCUCUCUGUCACCUAGGCUGGAGUGCAGUGGCGCGAUCUCAGCUCACUGCAGUCUCAGACCUCCUGAGUUCAAGGGAUUCUCCUGCCUCAGCCUCCAGAGUAGCUGGGAUUACAGGUGCCUGCCACCACACCUGGCUAAUUUUUUUUUUGUAUUUUUAGUAGAGACAGGGUUUCACCAUGUUGGCCAGGCUAGUCUCUAACUCCUGACCUCAAGUGAUCUGCCCACCUCAGCCUUCCAAAGUGCUGGGAUUACAGGUGUGAACCACCCUGCCCAGUCAGACCUUUCUUUUCUAAGGCAUGAGGAGUCAGGAUGUGCAUUUCUUCAAGAGGAUUUUCUUGGAUGGGCAUUUCUUGGAAAGAAUUUUCUUGUUCCAGUUAGUUUCCAGAUGCUGAAAUUUCAGGUAAAAUAAUACGGGGAAAGUUCUGGGCUAUGGGUCAGUGUGUGAAUGAGUGUGUGUGUGACCACACAUGUGUGUGCUCAGACUCAUUUGGGGUGGGAACCUUUUAGGUCAGAAAAGGACCUCAUGGGCCUCUACAUGGACAAGCUAGCUAUUCUGGCUUCUCAGCCUCC
rnacentral:lncRNA from 13 species